rnacentral:rRNA from 1 species
UAGGGAAUUUUCGGCAAUGGGGGGCGAACCCUGACCGAGCAAUGCCGCGUGAAUGAAGAAGAUCUUCGGAUUGUAAAUUCUGUUAUUGGGGAAGAAAAUAUGCAUAGGAAAUGAUGUAUAUCUGACGGUACCUGAUGAGGAAGCCCCGGCUAACUAUGUGCCAGCAGCCGCGGUAAUACAUAGGGGGCAAGCGUUAUCCGGAAUUAUUGGGCGUAAAGCGUGCGUAGGCGGUUUAUUAAGUCUGAUGUGAAAGCCCACAGCUUAACUGUGGAAUGUCAUUGGAAACUGGUAAACUAGAGUACGGUAGAGGUAAGUGGAAUUCCAAGUGGAGCGGUGGAAUGCGUAGAGAUUUGGAGGAACACCAGUGGCGAAGGCGGCUUACUGGGC